rnacentral:rRNA from 1 species
AGCGGAGGAAAAGAAACCAACAGGGAUUGCCCUAGUAACGGCGAGUGAAGCGGCAACAGCUCAAAUUUGAAAGCUGGCCUUCGGGUCCGCAUUGUAAUUUGUAGAGGAUGCUUUGAGGCAGCCGCCUGUCUAAGUUCCUUGGAACAGGACGUCAUAGAGGGUGAGAAUCCCGUAUGUGACAGGACGUGGCACCUUAUGUAAAGCUCCUUCGACGAGUCGAGUUGUUUGGGAAUGCAGCUCUAAAUGGGAGGUAAAUUUCUUCUAAAGCUAAAUACCGGCGAGAGACCGAUAGCGCACAAGUAGAGUGAUCGAAAGAUGAAAAGCACUUUGGAAAGAGAGUUAAAAAGCACGUGAAAUUGUUGAAAGGGAAGCGCUUGCAAUCAGACUUGUUCAAACCGUUCGGCCGGUCUUCUGACCGGUUUACUCGGUUUGGACAGGCCAGCAUCAGUUUUGGCGGCCGGAUAAAGGCCCUGGGAAUGUGGCUUCCACUUCGGUGGAAGUGUUAUAGCCCAGGGUGUAAUACGGCCAGCCGGGACUGAGGUCCGCGCUUCGGCUAGGAUGCUGGCGUAAUGGUUGUAAGCGACCCGUCUUGAAACACGGACCCAAA